GGGCCGGGCCCACCUGAGCCUCUGCAGGGUGGUUGAAGGGGCAGCCCGGGGAUAGCCGGUCAGAUAACGAAAGUAGCGCGUUCUCCUCGGGUCAUAGAAUCGCUGCGGUUGGAAGGAGCCUCUGGAGAUCAUCCGCUCCAAGUCCUGCCACGGCAGGGCCACCUAGAGCAGGGUCCAGGCCGUUGCUCCUCAUCCUGUCGCUGGGCAGCACCGAGAAGAGUCCGGCACGGAUGCCCUUGGCACCCGCCCUUGAGAUGCUCACAGAUAUUAAUGGCAUGCGCUCCUGAAGGCGGAGCCGGUCCCCAAGGAGGCGCUGACACCCCCGCUCUCAGGCUGCUCAGCUCGCCCGGGCACUUACCCUGGUUCAGGUGUAUUGAAUAAAAUGCCACGGGAGAAUUCCAGGAGAUUAA